rnacentral:rRNA from 1 species
AACGAACGCUGGCGGCAUGCCUAACACAUGCAAGUCGAACGAGACCUUCGGGUCUAGUGGCGCACGGGUGCGUAACGCGUGGGAAUCUGCCCUUGGGUUCGGAAUAACAGUUGGAAACGACUGCUAAUACCGGAUGAUGACGUAAGUCCAAAGAUUUAUCGCCCAAGGAUGAGCCCGCGUAGGAUUAGCUAGUUGGUGAGGUAAAGGCUCACCAAGGCGACGAUCCUUAGCUGGUCUGAGAGGAUGAUCAGCCACACUGGGACUGAGACACGGCCCAGACUCCUACGGGAGGCAGCAGUGGGGAAUAUUGGACAAUGGGCGAAAGCCUGAUCCAGCAAUGCCGCGUGAGUGAUGAAGGCCUUAGGGUUGUAAAGCUCUUUUACCCGGGAUGAUAAUGACAGUACCGGGAGAUUAAGCUCCGGCUAACUCCGUG